GAAGGAUCUGUUGUUCCUGCAGUGAAGAAGCACUGCUGAUGUGUGACAUUCACAGAAAUCCCACAGGAAACAGACAGGAAGAAGCAAGUCCCAUCUCCCUCCUCCAGCCUUGCAGCUGCCUGACUGUGCUUAUGAGCAGAGCCUUACCUUGAGGCAACAAGUAAAGCAGAGACGUGGAGUGAAGAACCCCAGCUCUAACCUCAGACAGCAGAGAAUAGAAGUCUCGUCAUCUCAGUGUUGGGCUUUCCAGGCAGUGGGCAAAAACGAACCUGGUGCAUUAACAACUGUGUACAUUCUGAAGUUAAAGGAUCAUCCCAGCUAACGUAUCUAGAAAAUAUCUGAAUUGGGUAGAUUCCACUUGUGAAGAUUCAAAUGCCUAAAAUUAACAUAAUCAGAUUAGCCCUGAGCUAACAUCUGCUGCCAAUCCUUCUCUCAUUGCUGAGGAAGAUUGGUCCUGAGCUAACAUCUGUGCCAAUCUUCCUCUACUUUAUAUGUGGGACGCUGCCUCAGCAUGUCUUGAUGAGUGGUGCCAAGUCUGCACCUUGGAUCCAAACCUGCAAAUCCUGGGCUGCCAAACUGGAGCACACUAACUUAACCACUAUGCCACCGGGCCAGCCCAUCUUUACCUCUCUUGAAAUGAUGUUAAAGCAGUUGUUUUUACCUCUUUAGGAAUGUAAUUAUUACAUAUGAAAAAGGCCAACAUCUUUUAUAUGAAGGAAAAAUUAGUGGUAAAGAUGAAAGGUGAAAAACUACUAAUUUGAAAAAGAAAGAAAAUGCACAGAUGAAAUAGAAUGCCCCAGGAUUCACCUGCCCCAGCCACAUCUCGAGUAAUAUCUCAGAUAUCAAAGCAACGCGCUGUCUUGAACUCAACUAGCAGGAGGACAAGUGUUUUUCCAGAAUCUCCUCCUUCUAUCUUCCUUUGACAGUCUCAAAAAUCCCUAGAAUGUCCAUUCCAAGUCUCCACAAGCCUCUGAACCCCAAGCUAGCAUGUUUUCCCUCUAGGAUGGAAGAAUAGAAAGAUGAAAAACCCUGGAUCCCUAAACACAGCCAUGAGCCACUGUUUCAGUCUUGGACUCCAUAACCCUACACUACUCAUUGUAUGGGACUAAUAACCCCUUUCUUGUUUGUCACAUUUCUCUAUUGUUUGCUGCCAAGAACAUUUCUAACAGGCUGAGCCCUUAAUGACAGGAUGUGUUGCCUUAUACCAGAAAGCUCUCCAAAAAUGGAAGUAAGCCAAAGGUUGGUCAGGAGCUUAUUAAAUCAUGUGGUCACAGGAGUGGCCAAGGUAUAGUUAAGCACAACUUACCAGUUUGUUUCCAGAGAACCUUCCAGGCCAUGAUACUGAGCCUGACCCAGUCUAUCGUACUGUUUUCCUUACUUGAGGCAAUUUGCCUCUAAAUCCCAAUUGCCCCUCUAACAAAUGGUCUCUCUGGGAUCUCGCUUCCCACAAAAAUAGAUUUUUAUAAAUGAAUCGCAAACAUCAACAACGUUUAGGAAACAUCAUAUGAGAUUCCUGCGACUGUACCAGGGUAGCUGUUUUAAGGACUCCUGAACUGCCUAGCUUGUUUAAGCAGUUUUCAAAGUUUCUAAGGUAGCAUUGUUGGCAUGUGUCAGAGAAAACACGAGGAUUUAGGGGCAGUUUUAAGUAACCCCACAGAUAGCCUAUCAGAAUUUCAGUCUUGAUCUGGCCUAAUGCUAUUGCAAAUUCAAAAAGUCUUCUGGGACUGGUAAGAUUGGGGGAAGGAAGAUAAAACUCAUUAUUAGAAACAUAUUUUUAUUAUACGAUACCACACAUUUUUCCAAUCAUAGAUUUUCAUUAUUUCAUAAUUGUAUGAUUAUGGCUAUGUGUUUUGCUUAUAUUUGGUCUCAAUAUUGUAUUAGAAC
ensembl:lncRNA